rnacentral:rRNA from 1 species
UCAAGUUACAAAGGGCGCAGGGCGGAUGCCUUGGCACCAGGAGCCGAAGAAGGACGUGAUAAGCUGCGAAAAGCUGCGGGGAGGAGCAAAUAUCCAUUGAUCCGCAGGUAUCCGAAUGGGGAAACCCGGCAGAAAGAACUUCUGUCACCGUAUGAUGAAUCCAUAGUCAUACGGAGGGAACCCGGCGAACUGAAACAUCUAAGUAGCCGGAGGAAGAGGAAGAAACAUCGAAUCCCUAAGUAGUGGCGAGCGAAAGGGGACGAAGCCCAAACCAAGGAUUUAUCCUUGGGGUUGAGGACCACAGACGAAGAAGCAGUAGGUAGUAGAACGGUUUUGGGAAAGCCGGCCAAAGAGAGUGAAAGCCUCGUAUACGAAACAGACUGUGAUUCAGUGGUAUCCGGAGUACUACGGGACACGAGAAACCCCGUAGGAAGCAGGGGGGACCACCCCCCAAGGCGAAAUACUACCUGGUGACCGAUAGAGUAUAGUACCGUGAGGGAAAGGUGAAAAGAACCCCGGGAGGGGAGUGAAAGAGAACCUGAAACCCUGUGUCUACAAGCUGCGGAAGCACGACUAACGUGCAACCGUGUACUUUUUGUAGAACGGUCCGGCGAGUUGCCGUUGCUGGCAGGUUAAGUACUUAAGGUACGGAGCCGAAGGGAAACCAAGUCUUAACAGGGCGAUAAGUCAGUAACGGCAGACCCGAAACCGGGUGACCUACCCAUGGCCAGGAUGAAGUCUGCGUAAAAGUGGAUGGAGGUCCGAACACACGUCUGUUGAAAAAGGCGGUGAUGAGCUGUGGGUAGCGGAGAAAUUCCAAUCGAACUCGGAGAUAGCUGGUUCUCCCCGAAAUAGCUUUAGGGCUAGCCUCGGUAUAGUCUAAUGGAGGUAGAGCACUGAAUCGCUGCGGGGGCGUCAAAGUCUACCAAAGCGUAUCAAACUCCGAAUGCCAUAUAGAUGUUUACCGGGAGUCAGACUGUAUGAGAUAAGUCGGACAGUCAAGAGGGAAACAGCCCAGACCAUCUGCUAAGGUCCCAAAGUGUAUGUUAAGUGGUAAAGGAUGUGGGGUUUCGAAGACAACUAGGAUGUUGGCUCAGAAGCAGCCAUUCAUUCAAAGAGUGCGUAAUAGCUCACUAGUCGAGAGGUCCUGCGCCGAAAAUGUCCGGGGCUGAAACAUAACACCGAAGCAAUGGAACAUAUCGUAAGGUAUGUUGGUAGGGGAGCAUUGAUAACACGAAGAAGCGGUACCGUAAGGAGCCGUGGAGAGUUAUCAAGAGAGAAUGCCGGAAUGAGUAGCGAGAUGAAGGUGAGAAUCCUUCAGGCCGUAUAUCCAAGGUUUCCAGGGUAAAGCUGAUCUUCCCUGGGGAAGUCGGGACCUAAGCUCAGGCUGAGAAGCGUAGGCGAUGGACAACUGGUUGAUAUUCCAGUACCUCUGGCUAUCAGAAAUGUGGGGACACGGAGAUUCAGGAAGUGCCUGUAAAGGAUUCAGGUGCAAGCAUGGUUUAUGCCGGGCAGGCAAAUCCGUCCGGGAAAUUGAACUGUGUGAUGCGGACCGAAAUAUAAGUAGGGAAGCUUCUGGGAGAGCCGUCGAGAAAAGCCGCUAUUGUGUAGUCAGAGCCCGUACCGUAAACCGACACAGGUGGAUGGGGAGAGUAUCCCAAGGCCGGCGGGAGAAGCAUUGUUAAGGAACUCGGCAAAAUGGCCCCGUAAGUUCGCGAUAAGGGGUGCCUGUAGAAAUACAGGCCGCAGAGAAUAGGCUCAAGCAACUGUUUAGCAAAAACACAGGUCUAUGCGAAACCGUAAGGUGAUGUAUAUGGGCUGACGCCUGCCCGGUGCUGGAAGGUUACGGGGAGUGCUCAGGAGUAAUCCGAAGGUACGAACUUAAGCCCCAGUAAACGGCGGCCGUAACUAUAACGGUCCUAAGGUAGCGAAAUUCCUUGUCGGGU